rnacentral:rRNA from 1 species
AUUGAACGCUGGCGGCAGGCCUAACACAUGCAAGUCGAGCGGAUGAAGGGAGCUUGCUCCUGGAUUCAGCGGCGGACGGGUGUGUAAUGCCUAGGAAUCUGCCUGGUAGUGGGGGAUAACGUCCGGAAACGGGCGCUAAUACCGCAUACGUCCUGAGUGAGAAAGUGGGGGAUCUUCGGACCUCACGCUAUCAGAUGAGCCUAGGUCGGAUUAGCUAGUUGGUGGGGUAAAGGCCUACCAAGGCGACGAUCCGUAACUGGUCUGAGAGGGUGAUCAGUCACACUGGAACUGAGACACGGUCCAGACUCCUACGGGAGGCAGCAGUGGGGAAUAUUGGAAGAUGGGAGAAAGCCUGAUCCAGCCAUGCCGCGUGUGUGAAGAAGGUCUUCGGAUUGUAAAGCCCUUUAAGUUGGGAGGAAGGGCAGUAAGUUAAUACCUUGCUGUUUUGACGUUACCAACAGAAUAAGCACCGGCUAACUUCGUG